CUGUCCUACGGGGCGCAGCAGUAGGGAAUUUUCGUCAAUGGGCGCAAGCCUGAACGAGCAAUGCCGCGUGAACGAGGAAGGUCUUCGGAUCGUAAAGUUCUGUUGAAGGGGAAAAAGAGCGGAGAGAGGAAAUGAACUCCGAUUGAUAUUACCCUUCGAGGAAGUCACGGCUAACUACGUGCCAGCAGCCGCGGUAAUACGUAGGUGGCGAGCGUUAUCCGGAAUGAUUGGGCGUAAAGGGUGCGUAGGCGGCCUGCUAAGUCUGGAGUGAUAGGGACGGGCUCAACCGGACCAGUCUCCGGAAA
rnacentral:rRNA from 1 species